UGGGGAAUAUUGGACAAUGGGCGAAAGCCUGAUCCAGCAAUACCGCGUGUGUGAAGAAGGCCUGAGGGUUGUAAAGCACUUUCAAUAGGGACGAAAAGCCUAGGCUUAAUACGCUUGGGUCUUGACUUAACCUAUAGAAGAAGCACCGGCUAACUCCGUGCCAGCAGCCGCGGUAAUACGGAGGGUGCAAGCGUUAAUCGGAAUUACUGGGCGUAAAGCGCACGUAGGUGGCUUAUUAAGUCGGAUGUGAAAGCCCCGGGCUCAACCUGGGAACUGCACUCGAUACUGGUAAGCUAGAGUAUAGUAGAGGCAAGUGGAAUUCCAGGUGUAGCGGUGAAAUGCGUAGAUAUCUGGAGGAACAUCAGUGGCGAAGGCGACUUGCUGGACUAAUACUGACACUGAGGUGCGAAAGCGUGGGGAGCAAACA
rnacentral:rRNA from 1 species